rnacentral:rRNA from 1 species
AUUGAACGCUGGCGGCAUGCUUUACACAUGCAAGUCGAACGGCAGCGCGGGCUUCGGCCUGGCGGCGAGUGGCGAACGGGUGAGUAAUGCAUCGGAACGUGCCCAGUAGUGGGGGCUAGCCCGGCGAAAGCCGGAUUAAUACCGCAUACGACCAGAGGGUGAAAGCGGGGGACCGAAAGGCCUCGCGCCAUUGGGGGGGCCGAUGUCGGAUUAGCUAGUUGGUGGGGUAAAGGCUUACCAAGGCGACGAUCCGUAGCUGGUCUGAGAGGACGACCAGCCACACUGGGACUGAGACACGGCCCAGACUCCUACGGGAGGCAGCAGUGGGGAAUUUUGGACAAUGGGGGCAACCCUGAUCCAGCCAUGCCGCGUGCGGGAAGAAGGCCUUCGGGUUGUAAAGCGCUUUUGUUCGGGAAGAAAUCCUCUGGGCUAAUACCCCGGGGGGAUGACGGUACCGGAAGAAUAAGCACCGGCUAACUACGUG